UUUCUUAAUCUGUGUUCUAUAUGGACUUGUGUUCUUGUGUUGCUGUGAAACAUCAUCUUCUCUGGCUAAAGUACUGUCCCAAUACAAAAGUUGGCAUUUCGCCAAGAACAGUUAAAAUUCCAGGAAAUGUUUGUGACAUGCCCAUUUUACCAAGGAUGCAUUGAUUGGUAACUUGAAUGAACUUUG